CAUACGUACAAGCAGUGGGAGCACCUUCGGGUGUGACUGCGUACCUUUUGUAUAAUGGGUCAGCGACUUAUAUUCUGUAGCAAGGUUAACCGUAUAGGGGAGCCGCAGGGAAACCGAGUCUUAACUGGG
rnacentral:rRNA from 1 species